GACGAACGCUGGCGGCGUGCUUAACACAUGCAAGUCGAACGCUGAAGCUUGGUGCUUGCACUGGGUGGAUGAGUGGCGCACGGGUGAGUAAUAAGUGAGUAACCUGCCCUUGACUCUGGGAUAAGCCUGGGAAACUGGGUCUAAUACUGGAUACGACAUGUCACCGCAUGGUGGUGUGUGGAAAGGGUUUUACUGGUUUUGGAUGGGCUCACGGCCUAUCAGCUUGUUGGUGGGGUAAUGGCUCACCAAGGCGACGACGGGUAGCCGGCCUGAGAGGGUGACCGGCCACAAUGGGACUGAGAGACGGACCAGACUCCUACGGGAGGCAGCAGUGGGGAAUAUUGCACAAUGGGCGGAAGCCUGAUGCAGCGACGCCGCGUGAGGGAUGACGGCCUUCGGGUUGUAAACCUCUUUCAGCAAGGAAGAAGCGAAAGUGACGGUACGUGCAGAAGAAGCGCCGGCUAACUACGUG
rnacentral:rRNA from 1 species